CAGGAACGCCCCGGCCCGGUCCGGGCGCUGCGCCCGCCCCACGCCGCGCUCCCCGCCCGCGGGGGCCGCCGCCCGUACCUCGUGUAUUCCCGCAGCCCCUUCACGAACCACACGGUGUUGCGGUACCAGGACAUGGCGCUGCUGCCUCCUGCACAGCGGUGCCGGUGCCGGCCCCGCCUCUGCCCUUACAUAAGCCAUCAAGGACAGCCGCAGCGAGCCCCUGCCGCGCCGGAGAUGACUGUGCCUGGUGACGGUGGUGGCAGAGGAAGGAUGGAGAGUUUCCCAGGGCACCUGGUCGGGACAGAUGCUGCUGCCAGCUAAUCCAGGACUGCAAACGGGGUGUUGUGUUUUGGGAACGGGGAGCAGAGUUCCAGGAUCUAUGCCUGCACCCUCUGCCCUAGAAAGCUGUCAAAGGGAUGCUCUCACAGAAACAUAACCGUGUUGUGCUUCACCAAGGAGCGUUUUGCAUAAUAAAUCCAUUAAAUAUCCAGCUCCUACUAAUGGAGCAAAGUAUACCAGUAAGGAAAGGGUACACGUAUGGCUGUUGCAGUAGGGGAAGUGAAAGUCAAAAUGUGUUUUCAGUUCCUCUGGUAUGUGCUUUGGAGCUAUGAAGCCCAAGAGAAUCACUUGGACUUGUACAUCUGGACAGCCCAUGUUAGCCAUAAGGAAAUUGUCAUUAUAGGUAUAAUUAUGCUUUUAAGUACAUGAAAGGACUACGCACUUAGAAAGUUCAGUGUGCAAGUUAGAUAAAUUCAUGUAUUUUACGUGAUGUGGGGAGGUCAUAUGCAGAGAACCCUAUCUGAGUUUUCAAGAGCUUAAGUUGCCUGGUUUCAAUAGCAGAGAUAGGGGAUAAAUGGGAAUAUUCUUUUUUGAUCCUGUACGAUAGUCUGAUACUUUUUUUUCUAAAUCUCUUCGCGCUGGCAAAGGCCUCAUACUGAAGUCUUCCACUUUCUCAGCACAUUGUGUGAGUAUUAGGCUCAUACAAAAGGCACUUCCCACUAUCAAGUUACAGUUUUGAACUCGGUGAACUGCGCACUGUCCGCUUGUACUGUGUAUUGCGUGUGAAGUAAGAGUUUUCAGAGGGCAAAGAGAUACAUUUUCACAGUGAUGUUUUCUUCCAUGCAGAGACCAUCCAGCUACAUGUACUUUUGCAUGAAAUGUAAAAAUGCUUGUUCUUAUUAAAACAGCUGAAAGACUCUAUUAAAAAACCAAUAGCCUGAGUCAGUUUUAACUGAUUUUGUUCUUGGAAAUGCCUGUGAGUUUGUGACUAAAGUAUUCCUAAACAAUUCAUCCUGAUUCUGUUGCUUGAAAUGGAGACUUUGGGCGCAGAAAGGAACAGCUUGGCAGUAGUGUGAGUGGCAGAAUGUUAUUUCAUAUAGUGGAAAUUGAGUGGCAGCCUAAACUAUGGACAUGUGCUGUGAUGUCUGUGAGUAUAUGGAAAUAGUUUUGUGAUCAUCACCGACAACAUGCAAUUGGCAACCAAAACUGUACAGCCUAAACUGCUAUGAUGAUGUCUGAUAAUCACACUCGCUCUGAACAGAGCAGAUGUUAGGCUUUGAAAGUCCUGCAUGCAGGCUGAGGUAAUGUCCCCCCUUCCUUCUUUCUGUCCCAUGCCCAGGAAGCCCUUCAGCUUCUCCCUUUCCCUCACAGCCCAGAGAAGUCUGCAUGGUUACUUUCCUCAAACCCUGGCUCAGCAGGGGAAAUCCAGAGAAUUAUGUGGGCAUGCCUGCUGUUAUGAAUAUCCGGGCAGAAAACUGCAGUGCUGCUCCACAUUUUCAUACUAGUUAGAGACUGUCUUACCUUGGGCUUCAUAACCCUCUCUGCAUCUCAGUGUGCUGUUAGGAGAAUAAUAAUGUUCCACAGCUGCUUAUGCCACAGAAUUAGCUGCAUUCUUUACAGGAAAUAUGUUUUCAUUUUGAAAAACAUUAGCAAAGCCCAAACAAAACAAUGGAAGCUCCUGUGAAUAAAUGCAAUAAACCAGGUUGUGUUUUA